ensembl:lncRNA
GGCAGCGACAGCUUCCGUCCGUCCGGUCCGUCCCUCACUCCGUCCGACGCGGCGGCCCCGGGACAGUAGACACACGGGAACAUGCAACUCACGCCGCCGCCAUCUUAGCGCCCUAAGCCACGCCGGGAACUGCUUCCCGGUCAUGCGCGCCUCGUGACGAGACGAAGGAGGGAGAGGCGCGAGCGCAGCGACCCCGAUCACGUGACAGGGGUCGAUGAACGGAAAAAAAGGGAACUUUCUCUCCCGGUCAUGCGUACAGAGGAACCACCUUGUCGUUGUCACAGGGGCAGCACACCUUCCCGCCCCCUCUUCUCCCCUUCUCCCUUGGAGCUUGCGCGCUAGAGGCUUAUCUUAUGGUGACGUCAUUGUUUGGGGUAGCGUCAUGUUGUCACAAAAUGGCCCCAGGAGAUCAUAGUGUGAUAGAUUUAGGGCUGCAAGGGACUUUCUAAGUCCAAACCUUUCUUUUUACAGAUGAGGAAAUUGAGGCCCGGGGAUGUUUCGGUGACUUGUCCAAGGCCACACAGGCUUUCACUGACUGCUCUGCCCUCGAGUGAACGAAGCACCUCUCAAGUACUUAUCCUGCAAACAACCAGAGAUAGACAGGAAAUCACGACUCUCCGUGCUGUCCAGGAGUUCACAUCCCAGCAGAGAGAGACAACACAUAGAGGAGGUUUCAUCGGAAAGUCGGAUGGUCGCGUCCGGGGUGCAGCAGCAAAGCAUCCAAUCAUUUCAUACAAUUUCCACGGGUAAAACCAUAUCCUUUUCUGAUGUGGGACCAUUUGGCAAUGCCAAAGACUUUGGUGGCAAGAAUUUUCAUCCCUCAGUCUUCAACUGCUGGGGAGACAGGAGGCACAGGUGUGUUAGCAUGAAGCAGUUGCCUGUUUAGCACAAGGAUUGACUCCCUACACAAUGGCUUUAGGGCUUGAGCUGUCAAUACACCUAGCUUGGCUUCAGGUGACGCCACACUUUUUAAGCACUCUCCCACCUCUGUGAUGCCUCUAGAUUUUUGUCUAUCCAGGGCCUAGUUCAGCAUUUUUACAUUGUAGUCACUUGAUGUUUAUUGAAUUCCAUUGACAGCCUUAAUAUCAAAGAGUCUAGUUGGGGGGAAAUGUGAUGGAAUAUCUCUUCUCACCUCAACUGGUAGAAGUCCUAUCUUCCUUCAGAGCUCGGGCAUGCCACGUCCCCGGGAGGCCUUUUUUGUUCCCCCACCAUUUGUUAGUUCUCUCUCUCUAGAAAUUUCUUGUUUUUACUUAUCCAGGGAUGUGCUGGUAAAUUUUUAACAACAUACCCUGGAAAAAAACGUAACACAACACACUUUUACGUUUAAUUUGCAUUAUUAACAUUUUCUUCAUCACUUCCUUAAGUCUAAAGCAGUGAUAUCAAACUCAGUAGAAAUGGUAGUCACUGAACUACAUAUGAAUCCCUGCAGGAAACAUAGUGACUAAGAAAACCAUAUAUUAAUAUUAUCUACAUUUUAUUGUAUUUUUAUUUAUUUUGCAAAGUAUUUCCCAAUUACAUUUUAAUCUGGUUCAGGCCGUGUUCAGGAGUGUUGUGGGCUGCAGGUUUAGUGUUUGAUACGUCAGGUCUAGAGUAUUAGCAGCAAAACAAUAAAUCACAUUUGCUAAUUUUUGAGGUAUAAAUG